rnacentral:rRNA from 1 species
UACGAAGGGGCUAGCGUUGUUCGGAAUUACUGGGCGUAAAGGGCGCGUAGGCGGCGUGUCAAGUCAGGCGUGAAAGCCCCGGGCUCAACCUGGGAACCGCGCUUGAGACUGGCAUGCUCGAGUUCGGGAGAGGAUGGUGGAAUUCCCGAGUGUAGAGGUGAAAUUCGUAGAUAUUGGGAAGAACACCGGUGGCGAAGGCGGCGCUCUGGACCGAGACUGAACGCUGAG